rnacentral:rRNA from 1 species
AGAUAGCUGUGUCCUUCGGACGAAGGAGACGAGGUGGUGGCAUGGUUGUCGUCAGCUCGUGUCGUGAGAUGUUGGGUUAAGUCCCGUAACCGAGCGCAACCCUUGUCCUUAGUUACCAGCACGUCAAGGUGGGCGACUCUAAGGAGACUGCCGGUGACAAACCGGAGGAAGGUGGGGAGUGACGUCAAGUCAUCCAUGGCCCUUACGGCCUGGGCUACACACGUGCUACAAUGGUCGGUACAAAGGGUUGCCAAGCCGCGAGGUGGAGCUAAUCCCAUAAAACCGAUCGUAGUCCGGAUCGCAGUCUGCAACUCGACUGCGUGAAGUCGGAAUCGCUAGUAAUCGUGAAUCAGAAUGUCACGGUGAAUACGUUCCCGGGCCUU